UACGUAGGGGGCAAGCGUUGUCCGGAAUCAUUGGGCGUAAAGCGCGUGUAGGCGCCAGAAAAGUCCGCUGUGAAAACUCGAGGCUCAACUUCGAGCUGUCGGUGGAAACUUUCUGGCUAGAGUCCGGAAGAGGAGAAUGGAAUUCCUGGUGUAGCGGUGAAAUGCGCAGAUAUCAGGAAGAACACCUGUGGCGAAGGCGGCCACCUGGGCCGACCCUGACGCUGAGGCGCGAAGGCGUGGGGAGCGAACGGG
rnacentral:rRNA from 1 species